CCUACGGGUGGCAGCAGUGAGGAAUCUUGGACAAUGGACGCAAGUCUGAACCAGCCAUGCCGCGUGCAGGAAGACGGCUCUACGAGUUGUAAACUGCUUUUGUACGAGGGUAAACGCAGAUACGCGUAUCUGUCUGAAAGUAUCGUACGAAUAAGGAUCGGCUAACUCCGUGCCAGCAGCCGCGGUAAUACGGAGGCUUCAAGCGUUAUCCGGAUUUAUUGGGUUUAAAGGGUGCGUAGGCGGUCGGAUAAGUUAGAGGUGAAAUCCCGAGGCGCAACUUCGGAAUUGCCUCUGAUACUGUGCGGCUAGAGAGUAGUUGCGGUAGGCGGAAUGUAUGGUGUAGCGGUGAAAUGCUUAGAGAUCAUACAGAACACCGAUGGCGAAGGCAGCUUACCAAGCUACUUCUGACGUUGAGGCACGAAGGCGUGGGUAGCAAACAGGAUUAGAUACCCGAGUAGUC
rnacentral:rRNA from 1 species